GUCUCUGGCCAUACCACCCUGAACACCCCCGAUCUCGUCUGAUCUCGGAAGCUAAGCAGGGUCGGGCCUGGUUAGAAAUUGGAUGGGAGGCCACCUGGGAAUACCGGGUGCUGUAGGCU
ensembl:rRNA 5S_rRNA 5S ribosomal RNA